rnacentral:rRNA from 1 species
UUUCGCAAUGCCCGAAAGGGUGACGAAGCGACGCCGCGUGUGGGAAGAAGGCCUUCGGGUUGUAAACCACUGUCGGGAGUUAAGAAAUGCAAGGAUAUGAAUAGUGUCUUUGCUUGACUAAGGCUCCGGAGGAAGCCACGGCUAACUCUGUGCCAGCAGCCGCGGUAAUACAGAGGCGGCAAGCGUUGUUCGGAAUUAUUGGGCGUAAAGAGCACGUAGGCGGCUAUGUAAGUCGGUUGUGAAAGCCUUCCGCUCAACGGGAGAACAUCAUCCGAUACUACAUGGCUUGAGUGCGGGAGGGGAGAGUGGAACUUCUGGUGGAGCGGUGAAAUGCGUAGAUAUCAGAAGGAACGCCGGCGGCGAAAGCGGCUCUCUGGCCCAUAACUGACGCUGAGUGUGCGAAAGCUAGGGGAGCAAACGGGAUUAGAUACCCCGGUAGUCCUAGCCGUAAACGAUGGGCACUAAGUAGAGGGGUUUU